rnacentral:snRNA from 1 species
AGCUUUGUGCAGUGGCAGUAUCGUAGCCAAUGAGGUUUAUCCGAGGCGUGAUUAUUGCUAAUUGAAAACUUAUCCAGG